rnacentral:rRNA from 1 species
GACGAACGCUGGCGGCGUGCUUAACACAUGCAAGUCGAACGGAAAGGCCCAGCUUGCUGGGUACUCGAGUGGCGAACGGGUGAGUAACACGUGGGUGAUCUGCCCUUGACUCUGGGAUAAGCCUGGGAAACUGGGUCUAAUACCGGAUAUGACCUUACAUCGCAUGGUGUUUGGUGGAAAGCUUUUGCGGUUCAGGAUGGGCCCGCGGCCUAUCAGCUUGUUGGUGGGGUAAUGGCCUACCAAGGCGACGACGGGUAGCCGACCUGAGAGGGUGAUCGGCCACACUGGGACUGAGACACGGCCCAGACUCCUACGGGAGGCAGAAGUGGGGAAUAGUGCACAAUGGGCGCAAGCCUGAUGCAGCGACGCCGCGUGAGGGAUGACGGCCUUCGGGUUGUAAACCUCUUUCACCAGGGACGAAGCGUGAGUGACGGUACCUGGAGAAGAAGCACCGGCCAACUACGUG